AACGAACGCUGGCGGCAUGCCUAACACAUGCAAGUCGAACGAGAUCUUCGGGUCUAGUGGCGCACGGGUGCGUAACGCGUGGGAAUCUGCCCUUUGGUUCGGAAUAACAGUUGGAAACGACUGCUAAUACCGGAUGAUGACGAAAGUCCAAAGAUUUAUCGCCAGAGGAUGAGCCCGCGUAGGAUUAGCUAGUUGGUGUGGGAAAGGCGCACCAAGGCGACGAUCCUUAGCUGGUCUGAGAGGAUGAUCAGCCACACUGGGACUGAGACACGGACCAGAAUACUACGGGAGGCAGCAGUGGGGAAUAUUGGACAAUGGGCGAAAGCCUGAUCCAGCAAUGCCGCGUGAGUGAUGAAGGCCUUAGGGUUGUAAAGCUCUUUUACCCGGGAUGAUAAUGACAGUACCGGGAGAAUAAGCUCCGGCUAACUCCGUGCCAGCAGCCGCGGUAA
rnacentral:rRNA from 1 species